rnacentral:rRNA from 1 species
AGAGUGAACGCUGGCGGUAGGCCUAACACAUGCAAGUCGAACGGCAGCACGGUAAGAGCUUGCUCUUAUGGGUGGCGAGUGGCGGACGGGUGAGGAAUACAUCGGAAUCUACCUUUUGGUGGGGGAUAACGUAGGGAAACUUACGCUAAUACCGCAUACGCCCUUCGGGGGAAAGCCGGGGACCAGCAAUGGCCUGGCGCUGAUAGAUGAGCCGAUGUCGGAUUAGCUAGUUGGUGAGGUAAUGGCUCACCAAGGCGACGAUCCGUAGCUGGUCUGAGAGGAUGAUCAGCCACACUGGAACUGAGACACGGUCCAGACUCCUACGGGAGCAGCAGUGGGGAAUAGUUGGACAAGUGGGCGCAAGCCUGAUCCAGCCAU